rnacentral:rRNA from 1 species
CGCCUGCCCUGUGACUUUACGUUUAACGGCCGCGGUAUUUUGACCGUGCGAAGGUAGCGCAAUCACUUGUCUCUUAAAUGGGGACCUGUAUGAAUGGCAUAACGAGGGUUUAACUGUCUCCUUUCCCAAGUUAAUGAAAUUGAUCCCCCCGUGCAGAAGCGGGGAUAUAAACAUAAGACGAGAAGACCCUAUGGAGCUUUAGGCAACAAGCAGUUCGUACCAAAAUAACCCUAAUAAAGGAACAAACCAUACUAAAAUCUGCCCUUGCCUUUGGUUGGGGCGACCGCGGGGAAACAAAAAACCCCCAUGUGGAAUGGGACUACCCGUCCUCCAAAAAAGAGCCCCCGCUCUAAAAAACAGAACAUCUGACCUUUAAGAUCCGGCAAAGCCGAUCAACGGACCGAGUUACCCUAGGGAUAACAGCGCAAUCCCCUUAUAGAGCCCAUAUCGACAAGGGGGUUUACGACCUCGAUGUUGGAUCAGGAUAUCCUAAUGGUGCAGCCGCUAUUAAGGG